rnacentral:rRNA from 1 species
AGCAGCCGCGGUAAUUCCAGCUCCAAUAGCGUAUAUUAAAGUUGUUGCAGUUAAAAGCUCGUAGUUGAAUUUUGGAUUCUUCCAAUUGGUCCAUCUUUUAGAUGAGUACUGGUUGUGUGGGGUCUAUCCGCCUGGUGAUACGUAAUGUCCUUUAUUGGAUGUUUCGGGUAGUCAGGACCUUUACCUUGAAAAAAUUAGAGUGUUUAAAGCAGGCUUAUGCCGGAAUACAUUAGCAUGGAAUAAUAGAAUAGGACGAAGUUGUUUUAUUUUGUUGGUUUCUAGGACAACCGUAAUGAUUAAUAGGGAUAGUUGGGGGCAUUAGUAUUCAAUUGUCAGAGGUGAAAUUCUUGGAUUUAUUGAAGACUAACUACUGCGAAAGCAUUUGCCAAGGAUGUUUUCAUUAAUCAAGAACGAAAGUUAGGGGAUCGAAGACGAUCAGAUACCGUCGUAGUCUUAACCAUAAACUAUGCCGACUAGGGAUCGGGCGAUGUUGUUUCCAUGACUCGCUCGGCACCUUAUG